rnacentral:rRNA from 1 species
AGAAUCAACGCUGGCGGCGUGCCUAACACAUGCAAGUCGAACGAGAAAGUGGAGCAAUCCAUUAGUAAAGUGGCGCACGGGUGAGUAACACGUGACUAACCUACCCUUGAGUGGGGGAUAACCUAGGGAACCUGGGCUAAUACCGCAUAAUACCUUCGGGUCAAAGGAGCAAUUCGCUUAAGGAGGGGUCGCGGCCGAUUAGUUAGUUGGCGGGGUAAUGGCCCACCAAGACUAUGAUCGGUAU